GACCUGGUGGUGAAAUAAAUCACACCCAUCACAGUUAUGUAUUUUUCAGAAAUUGUUUAUGGGAGUCCCUGGUUUGAAUCCAGGCUAGGUCA